UUUGAUACUUAUAUCACGGACAUAGACUAUGGAAGAUUUUAUCUCAUACAAUACUUGUUUGUAUUGAUGCCAGCUAUUGAUUAAUGCAGGUUUUAUGCGUGGCCGCUAUU